UACAGUUUUAUACUGUUAUAUACAGUUACAUACAGUUUUAUACAGUUACAUACAGUUAUGUAUUGUACGGUAUGUGCAGCUGUGUAUGUUUUAUGUUUGCACUGCUGUAUGUGAUGUAUUGUUACAGUCGUUCCAUCUGUACUGACAUUAAUCCCGCCAGCUGAGCCGAGAGCUAAUAAAAGAAACUUAAUCUUUAAGUUGAAAAUGAAAAAACUGCCUGAUGCUCACAUCUGUUAAUCGGUGUGAUUUCAGCCAGAAGUCAUGUGACGUCGGUGUGGAUGUGUGUGUUGGAGGUGAUGAUGAAAUUCCAGAGGGGGGAGGGCAGAGGGAGGAGGAGGAUUAAUUAAAAAUCUCUGCAGCUUCAGGACCCUCAGAGCGACGCUGAUCGAUGGCGCUCUGUUUUUGUUUAUCUGAAGUGACGGCGGGACGAGUGAGACUGAACCUGAGCUGCUGAUUCUGUUUAACACACAUUUCCAUCUCCACAUCGAGCUUGCAGACAGCAGCUCACUUUCAGCUGCAGGAGAAAAACUGCAUUGAUCCAGUUCUGCUCCAGCUAACGUCUGAUUGGACGCCUCGAGCUGCAGCAGCAGAUUACUGUUCGACCAUUCGGCUGGACUUCAUUACCUGGAGGACUGUCAUGGCUGAUUAACCGUGUAAGGGAUCAGUUUAUAAUCUGGUUUCCUGCACAUUAUGAGACUGUUCCACUGCAACUAAAGACGUUCAUCACUGGACAUCAAGUAUUUGUUUUCUCUCAUUAACACCAGUCUGGAGUUACUGGUUUACUCAUUAUGUGAAUGAAUUUUAAUUGGUUUUGAAAAGACUUUUGGAAGUUUAAAAACAAUUUGAAUAAUCAGAUAUUAUGUGGUGUAUGCAAGAUAUAUAAUAUGAUAUCGUUUGCAAAUAUGAUAACUUUGUUCUCAAACUGAGGCCUUUAUGCACUCAACUGAAGGAUUGCAGAGUUUACACGUUCAAAAUGAGCAUCUUGGACACUUAAAUUACAGAUUUUAUAUUGUAAAUUUAAACAGAUGUUGUUCAUGUGACAUUAACAGAUAUGCAGUUGUAGGUUGAUGUAAUGUUGUAAUAUUAUGCAUUUCUCCAGCAUGUAUCAAUGAGGGAACCCUUUGUUAGCUACAGGGUGAUAAAUAUCUCAAACAUCCAGUCCAAUAAUGGAUUUUUCAGCAAACUAAUUGAAUAAGUAUUACUUCAGUAAAUGUUCAAGCAAUUUCCUAACUGUUAAGUUGAAUGGUAUCGGUAUCGUCUAACAGUUUAUUAUCAUGAAUUAUGAAGAUAUGUAUUCAAUCUGCUCAUUUGAGAAAAUGAACCCAACUUUAAUUUAUCUUAAUUGCCUGAAUAAUCCCCAGGAACUGUCUGCCUGGUUGUCAAUAGUGAUUUGACAGAUCGUUAUUAUUAUCAGACUUAACUGGAAUGUUUCAAAACCGUUGUCCCCGUCUCGUUAUAGUGGGAUAUAUUAUCUUAUUAUACUUCGUUAUUUUCUGUUGUUAUUGUACAGAUUGUUACAGAUUGUGCGUGCUCAACUAAAGGAUAUUGAGGACUGACGUUAACGAUCUUGCCUGCUCAUAUUAAGGGAAUUUGCAGAGUGCAGCUCUUGUGAGUACGUUGGGGAUCUUGCGUGCACAUGUUCAGGAUCUUGCACGUUCAAAUUAAGAACCUUACGAACUCAAAUCAAAGUAUAUGACGCUAAUAAUUUGAGGAUCUUUAAAUUAAGAAUCUUUAGUGCUCAAAUGAAGUGUAAGACGUGAUGUUUUAGAUCUUGAACACAAACUGAGGAUCAUUUUUCUCACAUCUUGUGCGCACGUCGUAGAUUUUAUCCACACAAAUGACAUGUUGCUCACAAUCAUUGUUACUCUGUUCAGCACUCAGCUUUGUUUUAUUGUCUGUGAAUAUAUUGAGAUUUCCCGUCUGACAUCUUGUUACUCCUCAUAUUUAUCUCGACAGUCCGGUUUGGGAACCGCAGCGUAGACGGAGGUAGAAGCAGAGUAAACACAGAGAUGUUUACAUCCACAAGAGCUCAAACACGCUCGAGUGCUUCUGCGGUCGUCCAACAUAAACACACUCGGCCGUCCUCGUUACAUGCAAACACAGAUUAUUGUCUGUAUGUGAGCUGUGAAGUGUUGAUUCAGUCGG